AGAGUUUGAUCCUGGCUCAGGAUGAACGCUAGCGGCAGGCCUAACACAUGCAAGUCGAGGGGUAACGAUGUCUUCGGACAGUCGACGACCGGCGCACGGGUGAGUAACGCGUAUACAACCUACCUUUAACAGGAGGAUAGCCCCGAGAAAUCGGGAUUAACACUCCAUAGUAUCUUAAUACCGCAUGGUAUAGAGAUUAAAACUCCGGUGGUUAAAGAUGGGUAUGUGUGACAUUAGUUAGUUGGUGAGGUAACGGCUCACCAAGACAUCGAUGUCUAGGGGUUCUGAGAGGAUGAUCCCCCACACUGGUACUGAGACACGGACCAGACUCCUACGGGAGGCAGCAGUGAGGAAUAUUGGUCAAUGGACGCAAGUCUGAACCAGCCAUGCCGCGUGCAGGAUGACGGCCCUAUGGGUUGUAAACUGCUUUUAUUUAGGAAUAACUCCUCGGUCGUGUAUCGAGGCUGAAGGUACUAAAAGAAUAAGCACCGGCUAACUCCGUGCCAGCAGCCGCGGUAAUACGGAGGGUGCAAGCGUUAUCCGGAUUCAUUGGGUUUAAAGGGUUCGCAGGCGGCGUAUUAAGUCAGUGGUGAAAUCCCGAGGCUCAA
rnacentral:rRNA from 1 species